UUUUGUUUAGUAUUAUAACACGCCUUUGACGGAGCAUUUCCGUUGUAACUUACAGGAUUACUUAAAAUAAAAGGGUACAAUGAUGUAUCGUGUAUUCCAAAAGCUAUUGUUGAAUUGUCAUAAGUUUCGAUAAAGUUACUAGUUUACUUGAGUUGCGGAAUAGGUAAUAAGUGUUUGGCUCAGUUUUGUGAAAUUUGACUUACGUUUGUGAUCAAACUUUUUGAGUGCUCUACUUGACUUAGUUUAAAGAUGAAACAGUUGAAAAUACCGUGAGGAAAUGGCCGAUAACAACAAAAAACGAACAAGCAGUUUCCGUAAAUUGUUCCCCAGUUUAUUCUUUUCACAUAAAUCGAAGGAAAAAAAUAGUGACAAAGAAUCGCAUCGUCCAAAGAAUUCGAACGAUAGCUCGUCAAUUAGCAAUCAUUACCAAAAUCCAAGAUCAAUUAUUAGGACUGAGAAAUCUACUCAAGGUGAGGAUGAAAAUAAUGGGUGUAUAUAUGAGAACAUUGCGGUUUCUCGAAAUGCACAACAUGAUACGGUGACGCUAAGCAGCACCGCGGCAAGCAAUCAUUCUUCAAGCAGCACUUUAGUAUCAGAAAGCGUGAAAGGUAAAUCGAACUAUGUCGGAAGUAGUCUAAGUAAGGCCAGCUACAGCAGCCCCUAUACCAGUUACGCGGCGCGACCGCAAGUCCCACCUAAACCUCACGAAUCACAUACACCACAGAAUCACAACGAAUUCGAAAACCCUCAAUAUCCCGAUGUUUACUAUCAUUCAGUGGAAAAACUAACAGAUAAGAUAUCGCACUUCGACGAAAUUGAGAUAUACAGAGCAUCUAAAUCUCAAGUAGAUCCGACACCGGUUGGAGCUGAAAUUAAAAAGGUGAGCACGAAGUUUCUAAUAUCACCGAAAAAAGAAGCCGAAGUACGAACAAUACAGCCAACAAGAGCGCGAAGUUUGUCGUUCAAUAAAAACAAGGCAGAACCAAACAAUACCGAAACACGAGACAAUUUCAAUAGAAAUGAGUUACAUAUAUCGAAGCCAUACAACUACUCGGCUCCAACUUCACCGAUCCCUCUUAAUCAUAAAAUUCCGAACAUGCCUAAAACGGUAUCGCCUUACGAACAUGUCCGCAAGACCAUAAUGGAAAAUGAAAUAAAAAGAAAUUCCCUGAGUAGAUCUAGCAUCCAAAAUAAGUCUACUCCUUCGCCCAGACCAGAGGACGCCAGGUUAGCUAGUAGAACUUCCAAUUCUAUCGGAACUACACUUCAAGAAAGUCAUAAAAUGAACGACACUGACCGAGAAAAGACACGACAAAGAGUUGAAGCGUUUUACUGGCAAAAGCUGAAAGAGCAAAAAGACAAAGAGGACGAAUAUCUUUUAAGACAGUCUUUAAAUUGUCAAAUGAAUAGCCCUACUGGCCGCAAUACGUAUUCUCAUUCAAACUGUAGUACGCCAAAUUCUUUCACGGCUGAGCCGAGAAGUUUCAGUUUGCCACGAGGGCAAAAUUUAAAUAGUAGUUACUGCGUUACCCCUCCGGUUUAUACUAAUCCCUCGUUUGUCAGAGGGGCGCCUGAAAGGCGUACUGAUACCUUCAUAACAAAUCGAAGUUCUUACAAGGAUCCAGAGGUAAUUUAUAGGCACCCUGAAAAAUUAAUUGCUAGUACAACUUUGCAAGGAUCUCCAUAUAAUAUGAGACAGACUCCGAUUUUCCAACGAGGUUCGCUGACGAGAGAUUUGCGAAAUGCGAAUCCGCAACCAAAGAGAGUGAGUUUUGAGGAACAAUAUUUAUCGAAAAAUGCGUUACAGAAUGACGGAAGUAAAAGCAGUACAAAUUCCAAAAUGGUGAGAAAUCUGAUGAGUUCGUAUCCUGAGUGCUCUUCAGACGUGUCGAAAGUUGCUAAUGGAUCGAAGGGUGUGUUCAAAGCUCCGCCACGUCCUCCCGUCCGGACAUCAAGUGUCAACAGGAGUUAUAAAAUGGAAAACAGCAAGAAUGUUGUCAACGCUUUUGGAAAACGUCCGGGAUACUCCGAGUCCGAGAGCGGGUCUGAAGCUGGGGAAAUACAAAGGAUCCUGAGAAACUCCGCAGCGAAGGAAGAAGACUGGCACGGAGAUGGCACUCGUAUCGAUGGUGGUCUCUCCGACGGGGAGGCGAGCCGCGGACCGGUGCGUGGACGCACUUCCCGUCGUGACGACCCUCGUCGGCACACUCUUGCCGGCAACCACUUCUACAUCCACCCACAUCAUCAAACCCAGAUUUCAUCUCUGGACAUUGAGCCUAACGGCCGAGAAGAACCAAACAUCGCAGAAUACGCAACGGUUACGAAAUACCGAGAUCGAGAAAUGAAGCCCGUUCGAAUAUUAGAUCCUCGAAUGCGAAAGCCGCCGCUGCCCCGGUAUCCUCCGCCGAACAAUGCCUUGCUGUUCGACGAUGACCCGGGCAUCAUGUCUGAGGUGGAGACUGCAUCCACGGGGUUCCGCCGUGGAGGCAAGCAGCGCUCCUCACUACCGGUGGUCAGGACUCCCAGCAAAACCUUAGAAAGACCUUUGGGGCUGGUGUUCUUGCAGUACAGGAACGAAACUAAACGCGCCUUACUGCCGAAUGAGAUCACCUCCAUCGAUACUGUGAAGGCCCUUUUCGUGCGCAGCUUCCCGAAGCAGCUCACCAUGCAGUACAUGGACAGCCCCAUGGUCAAGAUAUACAUACACGACUCUUCCAAGGAUAUGUUCUACGAGCUAGAAGAUGUCCGCGCCCACUUGCGUGACAUUCGCGAUCGAUCAGUGCUUCGACUUUUCGAGGCUACGGACAUGGGCGGCGGGGUCUUCCCGGGAGCCGUGGGCGUGGGCUCUCUCGCCAUACCGCCCAGCAACCCACCCUGCUCCGGGCCCUCCAGUUGGGAUCAGGACCAGAGCUACUUCAGCGAGCCUGAAAUAGACUCUGAAUACCACCACCAACAUGUGCAUAAAUCCAAGGUGAAGGCUCCAGCGUACUACAUCGGGACAUCGGCGCCUAGCACCCUGCCCCGCGGAGGCUCCUUGUUACGGGCCUUCUCGCCCGCCGCAGCCCCCGUGCCCGCCGACAGGGCCAAGACUGUUUCCAACACAGCUCCUGGCAAACCAAUGCGUUCGGUGGCAAGGAGCGGGUCGGAACGGUGCUUCCGAUACGGCCCAGGAGACUGCACUCGACCUGAACAACUAUACACCAUCCCUGGUCAUGGCGGGGAGGGCUAUAUGUCAUCUCCGGAGCGCGGCGCUGCUAGAGCUCCUUACGAGGACCCAUACUACACCCAAUUCCUUGGCCCAGCUGGCGGCAGACCCACCAUCACGCCUGUCAUCGACGAAGAGGCCAGUGAUGGCGUGCUAAUCGACGAUUCUUACCAGAUGUACGGGGUCAACGCCCUGGGCACGGCUCCUCGGCCGAUGCCGCGUCCUCCUUACGACGCCAGGAUCAAUCCUCAAGUCGAGGAUAUGCAGCGUUUACGUGUGGAGAAGAUGGAAAGGCAGUUGGCCAACCUGACGGGGCUUGUGCAGAAGGCGCUACAGGCCCCCGGCGCCGCCGCCCCCGUGGUCGCGCCGCGCCAGGAGUUCCAGACCUACGCUACCCGCCCCACCACCCAAGAUGGCGCACGAUACAACUCUACUGAGAGACCCCCCAAACUGGGGCGGGACAAAUUUCAAAAGUCUGUGUCAUUUGAGAAAUCGGUAUCCUUUAGCGAUGACCCACCCGAUAUGAAUUCUCCAAUUCAGCAUUCGCCCCAGCAUUCAGCUGAUACAAAGCCAACAAAACCGGCAAUAAAAUCUUCGACGUUGCCGAGGACGUCUUCGCAAGAACGGGACCGGUUGAAGCCAGCGCCUCCACCGAAGCCGGCCGGGCUGGUGGGCCAACAGCUGGCCUUAGUGCCGCAGCGCACUUACACGAUCAAUGUGUCUCCGGACUUCUUCAAUCAGCUGCGCGUCUUGCAGAAGCAGAGCCGUGAUCUCAGGCUCGAGACUCGUAAUCUGCGUCGGUCGACUCUAUCGCACGCGAUACAGAUGCGACAACUGAUGGCUGAUACCAUCGUCAAGAUCGGAGCUAUAGCAGCCAGCUUCUGCGAGCAUGACCCGGAAUCGCAACUGACUCGCGAGGAGGAGAUCUACCGGCAGGAUAUGCUUCUCCUGGAGAACGACUUGUACGAGCUGGAGGCCACAGUGGAGCGCCUGCGCGGCCAGGCUGCUAACAGGGAGACCCGGGUGAACAUGGCAGACAUCGAGCGUAUUGCCAUGGUGCUGUCCAAGAGCAGCAAGACCGUGGCUGACUGGAAGCUGAAGUUCCCCAUUCUUCAGGAUACCAUGAAGGUCAAACUGGCUUCCGAGAUGGAGAAGGUGGUUCGUAAAGAGAAGAUGCUGGAAGAAGAGCCUGAGCGCCUGGAGCUGGCACUACGUCGCUGCAAGAAGCUCACUGGGACCCUGGUGACUCUCAAACGCCUCGCGUGCGUGCAAGAGCAGCGACUGCCCCUGACCGACGGCCGCUUGUCCCCUGGGUCCUCUCAGAGCUCUUCAUUCACCGCUGGACCCUCCUCAGAGGAGUUCACCUCCGACACCACUUGCCAUGUUACCCCAGCGCACAACAAGUGCGUUCUCGAUAGCAGGAGCCGCUGCUAGAACGAGAAUAGAGACGCCCCAUCCUGUCCUCGUCCCCCUCACUUCACCCCACCGCCACGUAGUCCCACGGAUACAGACACUAGUCUCCUACGGCGCUCACCCCAGCCCCUCUGACACCCAAUUGGCUAUUCCAUAAAAUAUUUACCAGACACUCGUAAUACUAUAUACUAACCAUGCAUCCAGAGCACAGGUAACUUUUCUAAAUUAUUUAUGUCUGCUUACAAAUUUAUUAUUGUUGUACUUACCUAAUAUUCUAUAUUAACCAGCACAAGAAUAAUAAAAGAUAACUUUGUAGUAGUUAACGCAACUCACUUGAGCUUUCAUUAGAUUAGUUCUGUUGUUAUAAUGUCACUCAGACAUUGGCUUUAUUCUGUAGAGAAUUGAUUAAAAUUAAAUUAUAUAAUUAAUAUACACACACGUUAUUUUAAAUUUUUGACUAAUGGCAACACCAUCACAAUUGUUAAGAGUGAAGUUCUUCUGUAACGAUUUCAUUUUUUUUUAGCAUUUUACAACAAUCACAAAUUUAAUCACAAACUGAAUCCCUUACAGUAUAUUAUAUCACGUUCAGUCCAGUGUUCUAAGUAUUCGUUAUGUUUCCUUGACUCUCUUCGCCUGAUCCCCUCCGAGCCACCGUUUCGGUUCUAAUACCACCAGUCAUAGGAGCUCCACUAUUUUCUUCUUCUUUUGUCGCUGAAUACAAACUAGUAUGGCUAUUGCCGGGCACAGCUAGAAGUUCGUGGAAUGGUGCGCAGGGCACCGGCGACGCCUGCGUCGAGCGAGGGCCUGGUGGCCGCGGAGCCGCGGAGCUGCGCCCAGAAAAUGCACUCGACGCGCUACUAGACGAGCUGCA
rnacentral:misc_RNA from 1 species